rnacentral:tRNA from 1 species
AGGGCCUUAGCUUAAUAAAAGUUUCUGGGUUGCAUUCAGAAGAUGUGGGAUAAAGUCCUGCAGGCCUUA